AGUGAACGCUGGCGGCGUGCUUAACACAUGCAAGUCGAGCGGGGGAAGGUAGCUUGCUACCGGACCUAGCGGCGGACGGGUGAGUAAUGCUUAGGAAUCUGCCUAUUAGUGGGGGACAACAUCUCGAAAGGGAUGCUAAUACCGCAUACGUCCUACGGGAGAAAGCAGGGGAUCUUCGGACCUUGCGCUAAUAGAUGAGCCUAAGUCGGAUUAGCUAGUUGGUGGGGUAAAGGCCUACCAAGGCGACGAUCUGUAGCGGGUCUGAGAGGAUGAUCCGCCACACUGGGACUGAGACACGGGCCAGACUCCUACGGGAGGCAGCAGUGGGGAAUAUUGGACAAUGGGGGGAACCCUGAUCCAGCCAUGCCGCGUGUGUGAAGAAGGCCUUAUGGUUGUAAAGCACUUUAAGCGAGGAGGAGGCUACUCUAGUUAAUACCUAGGGAUAGUGGACGUUACUCGCAGAAUAAGCACCGGCUAACUCUGUGCCAGCCGCCGCAGUAA
rnacentral:rRNA from 1 species